ensembl:lncRNA
ACGCCCGCGCGCUCGCUGCUCCCGGGUCCGGUGCGCAGCCUUUCGCAGUCGACCCCAAGGGACGCGUCCUUGGCUGCGGGGAAGGGGGGGCGCUCCAUAAGCGCCUUUUCUCCUCUUUCCCUGCUGCCAAGCCUGGAACCUUCGGCUUCACGCGCGCUUCCUCCUUCACUGCGUCCGCCCCGCCGCCUUCCCGACCCGCAGACCCGACGCGCCCCCCGCGCCCGACAGCGUUAGAGAGCCUGCUUUCCCGGGGUUUGAUAAAGUGAGGUAUCGUCGUGAAGAAAUCGGGCUCGCGUAAUUGUAAAGUCAGAAGGUGCAUUAUGUCCCCUUGCUUCAGCCUCCCUACACGGGGAAUCUAGGAGAACAAGUGAAAUAAAGGACGUGAAAGAACUUUGAAAGCUGUGAGCGACCGCACGGGGAUCAGCACGAUGGUGAAGUUCGUCACCAGCAUCGCCAGCACGGUCAUCGUCUUUACCGCAUCGCUAGAUUCAUUCCAGCAUAUUUUCUGAGGUUUCCAAGCCUCAGAAAUGUCACCUAAGGUAGAAAAGAUGUCGGAGAAUUUGAGCGGUUUUAGCAAAAGCGAAGAUUUGGGGAAUUCUCACCCACGGCUGGUGCCAGGGGGACUUGGCACAGCCCUCUUGGAGUCAACUUGGCAGCGUGGAGUCAGCUGGGAAGUCUGUGUCCCAGGUGACCUGUUGCACCUGAGCACGAGGAGAUCUGCGUGGGGGUGGUUGUGCAGCGUUGUUCACGGUGGCAGGCAGUUAUUUUGAAAGAGCUUAAAUGUUUGUUAACAAGUAAUUGGAUAAAAUGUUACAUAAAUAAUGCCAUUUAUGUAAAAGUUUAAAAUACAAAAGCAGUGCUAUAUAUUAUCUAUAGAUACAUGUGUAUGUCGAAGCUUAAAUACACAAAUGGGAAUGAUACAUAAAAACCUCAGAAUAUGGUUGCCUCUGAAGGGCAGGGGGAGGGAGAAUGAGACCGGGGAGUAGAAAAAAAUAAAUGAAGUACACGGGGAAUAUUUUAACUUUUUCAAUCAAACAGUACAGCUGCAGGAAACAUGCCAGCAUCCUUACAUUUGUUCGUUGCAGAUGGUGGGUAUUAGUUUUAUAACUGUGUAUUUCUCCACCUAAGAAGUUUGUCCCAUAACGGGAUAAUCUUUAAAACUGAAUAAAUAAAACACACUCAUAGAGUUCAUCUUAAUUAUGGUUGAAUUUCACAUGCUUGCCUUUUUUAACGUAUGUGUACCCUUUCUAACACCGAGAAGAAUGACACAAUAUCACGCCUCAUUUGAAUGAAACAUUUAUGCCAAUGGUUGUGCCAAUUUCUGGUUAAAUCUGCUGUGAUAGAAAAGUGGUGAUUAUUGGGAGACCAGGACAUCAGAACCUACUGGGAUAGACGUUUGAUUGAAAACUGAGCAGGAAACGAGUUUAUCUUGACUUUGUCCUGAGGGUUGAUUCUUUCCCUUCAGACACAGCACCACCUUCUCUCCACCAGCUGCUCAGGGGGAGGGAGGAAGGUGGUCGUGCUCGGCCGUCUUCCACUCCUUCCUCUCCUGGCACUCCUUGAAGGAGUCCUCGGCCCCAAUUCCAUCCUCCCAUUGGAAGGUACAUUGCACUUUCCUCUUUGCCACUAGAAUAUCCAUCUGACACAGAGUUUCCGCCACUGGAAAUUCCAAGUACUUUAAACCAAUCAGUGUCAUUUACAGCAAGGCAUUUUUUUCUCUAUUCUAGUAUGUUUACCUACUUUGAUUCCAAUAAAAAAAUAAUAAUGAUGUCUCACUCCUCGUUCCAUAGAAGAAUGCUUUGUCUUCGUUUUAUGCCUUUUCAAGUUGGAGGGAGAUAAUCAACUGAUUGGUUUCAAAAUACUUCCUGCUUUCCUGUAAGCUGGGAAAAAAAGCAACAGUCAGUUGCCUUGCGUUAACAUAACUUAGAAUCGUCUGGUUAGCUUAAAGUUAUUUGUAGACAUUUGAAAGUAAAAUAUGAGUUAGAAAAAUGAGCGGUGGAAAUGGCUCAUCUAAGGGUAGUUAUUCUUAAGAAUCUCAACUAGAGGCAUUCUCAGGCCUCACCGACUCCCAUAUGGACACUUGCUUUUUAUUCCUUUUCCUGUUUUGAUUGCAGAAGAGAAUGGGAAGGGCUUCAGAGGAGCAGAUACGGAACUAUAGUUGAAG